rnacentral:rRNA from 1 species
GAUGAACGCUAGCGGCAGGCUUAACACAUGCAAGUCGAGGGGUAACAUUGUAGCUUGCUACAGAUGACGACCGGCGAACGGGUGCGUAACGCGUAUAGAAUCUGCCUUAUACAAGAGGAUAGCCUUUAGAAAUGAAGAUUAAUACUCUAUGGCACUAUUUUUUGGCAUCAUUAAAUAGUUAAAGAUUUAUUGGUAUAAGAUGACUAUGCGUCCUAUUAGUUAGAUGGUAAGGUAACGGCUUACCAUGGCUACGAUAGGUAGGGGGUCUGAGAGGACUAUCCCCCACACUGGUACUGAGACACGGACCAGACUCCUACGGGAGGCAGCAGUGAGGAAUAUUGGACAAUGGAGGCAACUCUGAUCCAGCCAUGCCGCGUGCAGGAAGACUGCCCUAUGGGUUGUAAACUGCUUUUAUACAGGAAGAAACUGUUCUACGUGUAGAACACUGACGGUACUGUAAGAAUAAGGACCGGCUAACUCCG